CAAUCCUGACUCAGGGAGGUAGUGACAAGAAAUAACAACACUGGAAAUUUUAUUUCUAGUGAUUGGAAUGAUGGGAAUUUAAACCCCUUUCAGAGUAACAAUUGGAGGGCAAGUCUGGUGCCAGCAGCCGCGGUAAUUCCAGCUCCAAUAGCGUAUAUUAAAGUUGUUGCAGUUAAAAAGCUCGUAGUUGGAUAUCUGCUGGAAGCAGCCAGUCCGCUCUUUUUAUGGGGUGUGCACUUGGUGAAUUCUGGCAUCCUCCUGAUUAGUUCUAUGUAAUUAUCACUUAAUUGUGUUAAUUACAGCUAUAUCAGGACUGUUACUUUGAGAAAAUUAGAGUGUUUCAAGCAGGCUUAUUGCCUUGAAUACUGCAGCAUGGAAUAACAAGAUAGGAUUUCGGUUCUAUUUUGUUGGUUUCUAGGACUGAAGUAAUGAUUAAUAGGGACAGUUGGGGGCAUUCGUAUUUAACUGUCAGAGGUGAAAUUCUUAGAUUUGUUAAAGACGAACUACUGCGAAAGCAUUUGCCAAAGAUGUUUUCAUUAAUCAAGAACGAAAGUUAGGGGCUCGAAGACGAUCAGAUACCGUCGUAGUCUUAACCAUAAACUAUGCCGACUAGAGAUAGGAAAACGUCAUCCUUGACUUCUCCUGCAC
rnacentral:rRNA from 1 species